rnacentral:misc_RNA from 1 species
AUAAAAGGAAAAGGGCGAAGGCACUCAAACCUUCAAACUCUUUCCCAAAAUCCUGUAUUCACCCCAAGUUCCUAAAAAUUUUUAACGAAAAACUUGCAAAAAGACCAUCCACGAUCGGAUGGCAUUUAAUGCAAAACGA